rnacentral:lncRNA from 1 species
CCACAGUAUACAUGUAUAUAACAAAUUUUUUAUAUGAUUGUUGAAUUUCGUGUCCCAUUUUUCUGUCCACCAAGUUUUUGCCUGCCAACGUGACACGUGGCGAAGUCAAUUCUGAAUGGACCCACAGACUUCGUCCAUUGACGGUCAACACUAUCCAUCAUCAGCAUCAUGCAUGGUAUCCCUGAUCUUGAUCUUGGACCAUUUGAUU